rnacentral:rRNA from 1 species
UACGAAGGGGGCUAGCGUUGCUCGGAAUGACUGGGCGUAAAGGGCGCGUAGGCGGCGGACAUAGUCAGGCGUGAAAUUCCUGGGCUUAACCUGGGGGCUGCGCUUGAUACGUGUUUGCUAGAGUGGGGAAGAGGGUCGUGGAAUUCCCAGUGUAGAGGUGAAAUUCGUAGAUAUUGGGAAGAACACCGGUGGCGAAGGCGGCGACCUGGUCCUUGACUGACGCUGAGGCGCGAAAGCGUGGGGAGCAAACAGG